rnacentral:rRNA from 1 species
UAACAUGAGAGUUUGAUUCUGGCUCAGGACGAACGCUGGCGGCGUGCUUAACACAUGCAAGUCGAACGAAGUGUAGCAAUACACUUAGUGGCGGACGGGUGAGUAACGCGUGAGGAACCUGGCUCCAACAGGGGGACAACAACUGGAAACGGUUGCUAAUACCGCAUAAGACCACAGAGCGGCAUCGCUCAGGGGUCAAAGCUCCGGCGGUUGGAGAUGGCCUCGCGUACUAUUAGCUAGUUGGUAGGGUAACGGCCUACCAAGGCGACGAUAGUUAGCCGACCUGAGAGGGUGAUCGGCCACAUUGGAACUGAGACACG